GCUGGGUGCAGUGGAUACUUGUACCUGUAGUCCCAGCUACUCAGGAGGCUGAGGCUGGAGGAUCGCUUGAGUCCAGGAGCUCUGGGCUGUAAUGCGCUAUGCCGAUCGGGUGUCCGCACUAAGUUCAGCUUCAAUAUGGUGGCCUCCCGGGUUUGGGGAACCACCAGGCUGCCUAAGGAGGAGUGAACCGGCCCAGGUUGGAAACGGAGCAGGUCAAAACUCCCAUGCUGAUCAGUAGUGGGAUUGUGCCUGUGAAUAGCCACUGCACUCCAGCUUGGGCAAUAUAGUGAGACCCCAUCUCU
rnacentral:SRP_RNA from 1 species